GUGCUUGCUUCAGCAGCACAGAUACUAAAAUUAGAACGAUAUGGAGAUUAGCAUGUCUCCCGCAUAAGGAUGACCAAAAAAAUGCCACUUGAAUUAGUCCUUUUC
ensembl:snRNA U6 U6 spliceosomal RNA